CCUACGGGAGGCAGCAGUGGGGAAUAUUGGACAAUGGGGGCAACCCUGAUCCAGCAAUGCCGCGUGAGUGAUGAAGGCCUUCGGGUUGUAAAGCUCUUUUGGCGGGGACGAUGAUGACGGUACCCGCAGAAUAAGCCCCGGCUAACUUCGUGCCAGCAGCCGCGGUAAUACGAAGGGGGCAAGCGUUGUUCGGAAUUACUGGGCGUAAAGGGCGCGUAGGCGGCUUACCAAGUCAGGCGUGAAAUUCCCGGGCUCAACCUGGGGGCUGCGCUUGA
rnacentral:rRNA from 1 species